UUCCUCUUUGUGGACCACUACAUGUCAGAGGCUCUGAGAGCUUUGCUCUGCAGCUCAGACCAGGAAACUCUCACAUACAGGAACAGAGAUGUUUUCCAGACUGGGAGAAGAAGAAAUCAGCCAGGAGGAGAAGAGUGAUGAGAUGAUCAGUUCAGAAGUGAUGCUCUGUGGUGACAUCAUCAUAGUCCUCGUCCAAUCCCUGAUCAGCCUUGGUGGGUGGAGUCAUCACCAUGGCAACAGAGACACCAUGAGGAGAGUGGAGAUGAAGAAGGGACAGAAGAUCAUCAGGUGGAAGAGCAGCAUGAACACAAGGUUGGAAACUGAGACAGGAGGAGGAGAUGUAACGAAGGAUGG